rnacentral:rRNA from 1 species
AUUGAACGCUGGCGGCAGGCCUAACACAUGCAAGUCGAACGAGUGGCGGACGGGUGAGUAAUGUGUGGGAAACUGCCUGAUGGAGGGGGAAAACUCCUGGAAACGGUAGCUAAACCCGAUAACCAUCAAAUGUGCCCAGAUGCGAUUAGCUAGUUGGUAGGGUAACGGCUCACCAAGUCGACGAUCCCUGGCUGGUCUGAGAGGAGGACCAGCCACACUGGAACUGAGACACGGUCCAGACUCCUACGGGAGGCAGCAGUGGGGAAUAUUGCUCAAUGGGCGAAAGCCUGAUGCAGCCAUGCCGCGUGUAUGAAGAAGGCCUUCGGGUUGUAAAGUACUUUCAGCGGGGAAGCGUUACCCGCAGAAGAAGCACCGGCUAACUCCGUGCCAGCAGCCGCGGUAAUUC